ACUUUAUAAGGACUAUAUAAGGCGGUUGUAUGCACAUUUCCCACCCCUCCCGCUGGAAAGCCAAUCUUCUGCUUUUUAACAGUCAAGCCGGUAAACAUUUAAGCCUAUCGUCUGGUUCCACUGACGCAUGCGCACAUUUGGGGUUUUGCGACAGCGGAGACGAUUUGGCGACAGCGAGUUGUGGCGUGUCAGACGGGUGUGUGCAAGAUCAGAUGGAAUCCACAUGGAAGAGGAUGAUAACAACGCCAAGGCACCGGACUACCAAGGAGUGGACUGCAACAACUGAGUGGCAUUAUCAGGAAUGCAGUUUGUAGCACUGCCCUGCAAGCUGAUGAUGUUGGCCACUGAUGCACUCCUUAGUGUUGCAGCAAAUUCCCUGGCAUUGCGAUGAAAGCGGUGUCCUCCCUUUCCUCUGAUGACUGAGAACAGGUUCUACAAAGAGAGUCCCACCUGGAAUUGAGGAUGUCAAAGAGCCUAUCCAUGUCCUCUGCAAAUUUGGCUGUGUGAAGAGCAUCCUCUUGUAUUAUUUUUGUGUGUGUUUUUGUUGUUGUUGUGUAGCUGUACCUGCUGCUACGGAGUGGCUGAAGACCUGAGUGCCAGUUUGACCCUCAUGUUGGUGAA